AUCAAGUCUGUGUGCUAAAUACAGGAAAAGCCUUGAUAGGAGACCCUGCUACCGAUUUGUAGGAAAUAGGACAAAAAAAAAAAAACAAAAACACAACACUUUGAACUUCCACUGUUGAGUAUGCAAACAGCAAAAUCCAGACUAUAGGGAAGUACUUUCUUCUUAUCAAGAAAAUAAGAGGGCCAGGCAUGGUGGCUCAUGCCUGUAAUCCCAGCACUUUAGGAGGCUGAGGCUGGUGGAUUGCCUGAGGUCAGGAGUUCAAGACAAGCCUGGCCAAUAUGGUGAAACCCUGUANNNNNNNNNNNNNNNNNNNNNNNNNNNNNNNNNNNNNNNNNNNNNNNNNNNNNNNNNNNNNNNNNNNNNNNNNNNNNNNNNNNNNNNNNNNNNNNNCAGGAGGCAGAGGAGGUUGCAGUGAGCCAAGAUCGCACCACUGCAUUCCAUCCAGCCUGGGUGACAGAGAGAGACUCUGUCUCCAAAAAAAAAAAAAAAAAAGAGUUGCACCAAAAUCUCAGAAAUCACCACUAAAGAACUUAUUCACAGAUCACUUGAACUCAGGAGUUUGAGACUAGCCUAAGCAACUUAGCAAAAACCCUACUCAACAAAAAAUACAAAAUACACCAUAAUGGCCAGGCUGGUCCCAAACUCCUGACCUUGUGGUCUGCCCUCCUUGGCCUUCCAAAGUGCUGGGAUUACAGGCGUGAGCCACCAUGCCCGGCCUGCCUUGCUCUUAUAAGUUCUUAUCUAAGAACUUCCAUCUGUGGGGUCAAGCGUGACUCUUUUAAAUACUAAUCCACCAUGCGACUUCUGACUAACUCUUGAGUCCAGGAAUGCCUCCAAAAUGUGUGGUUGACAUAUUGCUUUUUACGUAGAAACACCUAGUCACUGUAAGAUUCACCUUUCUUCCAAAACAACCCUGGAUGUUGUUGCAUACAUCAUAGGCUGUGAUGCCCAUAGCCACCUACACACUCCUUCCAGAGCACUAUGCUUCUUCUCCAAGACAUAAGUCCUGGAUCUGGGGGAUUGCAGUGUGAGGAUCUACCUGUCUUGUGGCCACCCAAGACCAUGCUUCUGUCUAUAAAUGCCCCUAAUAAAUCACCCUAUACCGACAACUGAAUUUGUCUGCCCCAUUCUUUGGUUUUUUGGCUCCUUUGGCAUUUGGGGGCCACUUUGCACAUACAGCCCUUUUGGGGAACAGCCUCCUGCAUGCUGGCCCCUGGUGGAGCCUGGCCUCCCACUGACAACCCUUUCACACUGGCCGCUGGAGUAGUUUCCUGUGGCUGCCAUAGCAAAUCAACACAAAGUUGGUGGCUUAAAACAACAGGACUUCAACAGAUCUUUUUGAGAGAUACGAAUCUACCCACAAUUGUCUACCCUCUGGCUCCCAUAAAUUCAUGUUCUUCCCACUUGCAAUGUGUAGUCACCCUAUUCCAACACCCCUAAAAGUCUGAACCCAUUCCAUUAUCAACUCCAGUUACAAAAUCUCAUCUAAAUACUGCCAACCCCAAAAAUCCCAAAUUUUUUUCUUUCUCUCUCUUUCUUUCUCUCUUUCUUUCUUUCCUCCCUCCCGGCUUUUCCUUCCUUCCUUUCUUCCUUCUUUCCUCCCUCCCUCCCUCUCUCUUUCUUUCUGAUGAAGUUUCACUCUUGUUGCCCAGGCUGGAGUGCAAUGGUGCAAUCUUGGCUCACCGCAACCUCUGCCUCCCAGAUUCAAGCGAUUCUCCUGCCUCAGCCUUCUAAAUAGCUGGGAUUACAGGUAUGCGCCACCACACCCGGCUAAUUUUGUAUUUUUAGGAGGGAUGGGGUUUCACCAUUUUCUCCACAUUGGUCAGGCUGGUCUCGAACUUCCGACCUCAGGUGAUCCACUUGCCUCGGCCUCCCAAAGUGCUGGGAUUACAGGCAUGAGCCACCGUGCCCAGCCGAUGCAGUUCUUAUAAACAGCAAAGUCUUGCUUUUGAAUUACGAGUCUGUAGCCUCCUUUCUCCGCAACAUUGAGCCUCUGCCAACCUUGUUAAAACUCAAGGAUUCUUUUGUUAUAACACUAAGAGUUGAAGGGGAGAAUGGAUAUGGGCUACAGCUAGCCUUUUCUGCCACAAUUCCACUUGUCACAGACAUGUUAGUUCCCGUUUGAAAUCUUUCUGCACCAUAGAAACUUUCAUCCUCAGGCC
rnacentral:lncRNA from 1 species